AGUUUGAUCAUGGCUCAGGAUGAACGCUGGCGGUAUGCUUAACACAUGCAAGUCGAACGGAUGUCUUCGGACAUUAGUGGCGGACGGGUGAGUAACGCGUGAGAAUCUGCCUACAGAAUGGGGAUAACGUCGGGAAACUGACGCUAAUACCGAAUGAGCCGAGAGGUAAAAGAUUUAUCGUCUGUAGAUGAGCUCGCGUCUGAUUAGCUAGUUGGGGAGGUAAUGGCUCACCAAGGCGACGAUCAGUAACUGGUCUGAGAGGAUGACCAGUCACACUGGGACUGAGACACGGCCCA
rnacentral:rRNA from 1 species